UUUAAAUGAAUUGAAUACUUUCAUUCCUAUAAACAUAUAUGAUCCUGGUCAAUGGACUAAUGUAGAUUCAAAAAGCUAAAAAAAAAUAGUGUUUAAGUAAAAAAAAUAUACUAUAAUUUUUUUUAGAGGAACUUAAGGCCCCUAAUUAUAGUUUAGGCCCCGAACUGUGUUGAGCCGCCUCUGGUUGACACCUCCUUACCGGAGUAUCUGGGCUUCUGCUCUGAACGAAUCACCUGAGUCUUGUUUCCCGCAUCUUGUCAUCAAUGGGAGCCACGCACACCUUCUCCCGAAUAUCAUCAUUCCUAAUCUUAUCACAAUAUUAAGAAGCAACCUACCACAUUACUCCCUCAAUCUCAAAGUUACUGGACCUGUGUCUCUUUUUCAUUUCUUCCUUCCUAGUUUACUCACUCACUUCUCGCCAAUACCAAAGCUAAUACAACCUCAUACCAUUGUUAUUAUAUUAACACUUCUGCCUAAAUUAAUUUCCAUGCUGCUUGACAAACUAGGUCAUUCAUCUGGGUUAGCAGUGUAAACUACUCCGAAUAUGUACUAGCUUAUUCUAAGCUAUAAUUUGGAGGUGCUCCAUCAAAAUUGCCAGUACACUGACCAACAUACAUAGCUAGGAAGAACUAUGAAAGGGCCAACGAGUUACAAGAAGGAAACACUAGGAUCAAAAUUUUAAACCAGAUAUCAAACAAUAGAAAUGCUUAACUGCACAGGGAAACCACAAACUAGAUGCCCCUACCCUCCGCAGCGAUCAAUAAAAUCAAAAUGAAUGUACUAUUUUAUUUUGGCCAACCUCCUCUCACCCUCCCCCACCCUCAAAGCACAAAGAAAUGAUAUUUGGUCUUACCCAUAUUAGCUCAAUAGCCACUUAUGCAAGUCUGCUUGCAACUGUUUCUAUUCACUGCCAGGAGUACGGUAAUCUGAAUCACAGAUGAGCUCCGACAAGUUUUCC
rnacentral:lncRNA from 1 species